GCCAGGCACUGUGGCGCAUGCUUGUAAUCCCAGCAGCUUGGAAGGCUGAGACAGGAGAAUUGUGAGUUCAAAGCCAGCCCCAACAACAUCGAGGAGCUAAGCAACUCAGUGAGACCCUGUCUCUA
rnacentral:sRNA from 1 species